UUUAGUGGCGGACGGGUGAGUAACGCGUAAGAACCUACCUUUAGAGGGGGACAACAGCUGGAAACGGUUGCUAAUACCCCAUAUGCUGAGGAGUAAAAUGGUGUAAUAACCGCCUAAAGAUGGGCUUGCGUCUGAUUAGCUAGUUGGUAAGGUAAAGGCUUACCAAGGCAACGAUCAGUAGCUGGUCUGAGAGGAUGAUCAGCCACACUGGGACUGAGACACGGCCCAG
rnacentral:rRNA from 1 species